AACGAACGCUGGCGGCAGGCCUAACACAUGCAAGUCGAGCGAGGUAGCAAUACCUAGCGGCGGACGGGCUAGUAACGCGUGGGAACGUGCCCAAAGGUACGGAAUAGCCUCGGGAAACUGAGAGUAAUACCGUAUGUGCCCUUCGGGGGAAAGAUUUAUCGCCUUUGGAUCGGCCCGCGUUGGAUUAGGUAGUUGGUGGGGUAAUGGCCUACCAAGCCGACGAUCCAUAGCUGGUUUGAGAGGAUGAUCAGCAACACUGGGACUGAGACACGGCCCAGACUCCUACGGGAGGCAGCAGUGGGGAAUCUUAGACAAUGGGGGAAACCCUGAUCUAGCCAUGCCGCGUGAGCGAUGAAGGCCUUAGGGUUGUAAAGCUCUUUCAGCUGGGAAGAUAAUGACGGUACCAGCAGAAGAAGCCCCGGCUAACUCCGUG
rnacentral:rRNA from 1 species